rnacentral:rRNA from 1 species
AGAGGUCUCCAGCGUUGUUCGGAUUCAUUGGGCGUAAAGGGUGCGUAGGUGGUGACGCAAGUCUGGUGUGAAAUCUCGGAGCUUAACUCCGAAACUGCACCGGAUACUGCGUGACUCGAGGACUGUAGAGGAGAUCGGAAUUCACGGUGUAGCAGUGAAAUGCGUAGAUAUCGUGAGGAAGACCAGUUGCGAAGGCGGAUCUCUGGGCAGUUCCUGACACUGAGGCACGAAGGCCAGGGGAGCAAACGGGAUUAGAUACCCCGGUAGUCCUGGCAGUAAACGGUGCACGUUUGGUGUGGGCGGGUUCAGACCCCGUCCGUGCCGGAGCUAACGCGUUAAACGUGCCGCCUGGGAAGUACGGUCGCAAGAUUA